rnacentral:rRNA from 1 species
GACGAACGCUGGCGGCGUGCUUAACACAUGCAAGUCGAACGGAAAGGCCCUGCUUGCAGGGUCCUCGAGUGGCGAACGGGUGAGUAACACGUGGGUGAUCUGCCCUGCACUUCGGGAUAAGCUUGGGAAACUGGGUCUAAUACCGGAUAGGAACCAUCUUUAGUGUGGUGGUUGGAAAGUUGUUUCGGUGUAGGAUGAGCUCGCGGCCUAUCAGCUUGUUGGUGGGGUAAUGGCCUACCAAGGCGGCGACGGGUAGCCGGCCUGAGAGGGUGUACGGCCACAUUGGGACUGAGAUACGGCCCAGACUCCUACGGGAGGCAGCAGUGGGGAAUAUUGCACAAUGGGCGCAAGCCUGAUGCAGCGACGCCGCGUGGGGGAUGAAGGCCUUCGGGUUGUAAACUCCUUUCGCUAGGGACGAAGCUUUGUUGUGACGGUACCUAGAUAAGAAGCACCGGCUAACUACGUG